rnacentral:rRNA from 1 species
AUGAACGCUGGCGGCGUGCCUAACACAUGCAAGUCGAGCGAAGCGAUUUAGCGGAAGUUUUCGGAUGGAAGUUAAAUUGACUGAGCGGCGGACGGGUGAGUAACGCGUGGGUAACCUGCCUCAUACAGGGGGAUAACAGUUAGAAAUGACUGCUAAUACCGCAUAAGCGCACAGCAUCGCAUGAUGCCGUGUGAAAAACUCCGGUGGUAUGAGAUGGACCCGCGUCUGAUUAGCUAGUUGGUGAGGUAACGGCUCACCAAGGCGACGAUCAGUAGCCGACCUGAGAGGGUGAUCGGCCACAUUGGGACUGAGACACGGCCCAAACUCCUACGGGAGGCAGCAGUGGGGAAUAUUGCACAAUGGGGGAAACCCUGAUGCAGCAACGCCGCGUGAGUGAAGAAGUAUUUCGGUAUGUAAAGCUCUAUCAGCAGGGAAGAAAAUGACGGUACCUGACUAAGAAGCCCCGGCUAACUACGUGCCAGCAGCCGCGGUAAUACGUAGGGGGCAAGCGUUAUCCGGAUUUACUGGGUGUAAAGGGAGCGUAGACGGCGAAGCAAGUCUGAAGUGAAAGCCCGGGGCUUAACCCCGGGACUGCUUUGGAAACUGUUUCGCUAGAGUGCUGGAGAGGUAAGUGGAAUUCCUAGUGUAGCGGUGAAAUGCGUAGAUAUUAGGAGGAACACCAGUGGCGAAGGCGGCUUACUGGACAGUAACUGACGUUGAGGCUCGAAAGCGUGGGGAGCAAACAGGAUUAGAUACCCUGGUAGUCCACGCCGUAAACGAUGAGAACUAGGUGUUGGGGGAAUAACUCAGUGCCGCAGUUAACGCAGUAAGUUCUCCGCCUGGGGAGUAUGCACGCAAGUGUGAAACUCAAAGGAAUUGACGGGGGCCCGCACAAGCGGUGGAGCAUGUGGUUUAAUUCGAAGCAACGCGAAGAACCUUACCAGGUCUUGACAUCGAGUGACGUACCUAGAGAUAGGUAUUUUAUUCGGAACACAAAGACAGGUGGUGCAUGGUUGUCGUCAGCUCGUGUCGUGAGAUGUUGGGUUAAGUCCCGCAACGAGCGCAACCCUUAUCCUUAGUAGCCAGCAGUAAGAUGGGCACUCUAGGGAGACUGCCAGGGAUAACCUGGAGGAAGGUGGGGAUGACGUCAAAUCAUCAUGCCCCUUAUGAUUUGGGCUACACACGUGCUACAAUGGCGUAAACAAAGGGAAGCGAAGCCGCGAGGUGAAGCAAAUCCCAAAAAUAACGUCCCAGUUCGGAUUGUAGGCUGCAACUCGCCUGCAUGAAGCUGGAAUCGCUAGUAAUCGCGAAUCAGAAUGUCGCGGUGAAUACGUUCCCGGGUCUUGUACACACCGCCCGUCACACCAUGGGAGUCGAUAACGCCCGAAGUCAGUGACCCAACCGCGAGGAGGGAGCUGCCGAAGGCGGGAUUGAUAACUGGGGUG